AUCCUCAUAAGAUUCAGAAAAUAGGCCACCAGAGUUGUUGUCUAUUCAUGGUCAUCUCAUUCCCAAGAUACCUGAUUUCUCAUGGAAUCCCAAUGAACUUGGAUGAUUUGUCCUGUAUUACAAGACAAUGUCCUGCAAGUAGUGUGGCAAAUAUUAGAGAUCAUUUAUAGUGAUGAAGACCUUGAAGGAAGCAUAGAUUCAG
rnacentral:lncRNA from 1 species